AAAUCAGGCUAAGUAGUAGAGCCGCAGGUAAAAUUAGCGUGUUUUCUUUGAACUUACCUGUUCCCUACUGCUUAAUAUGGCAU
rnacentral:pre_miRNA from 1 species